rfam:Medicago truncatula strain A17 chromosome 1, whole genome shotgun sequence.
GAGCAGAUGAUGAAUAAAAUAAUAAUUACCGAUUGGUUAUUCCAUGAAGCAAUUUUAAUCGAGCUUUUUAAAACUGAUGCUCA